rnacentral:rRNA from 1 species
UACGUAGGGGGCAAGCGUUGUCCGGAUUUAUUGGGCGUAAAGAGCUCGUAGGCGGUUGGGCAAGUCACGUGUGAAAUCUCCACGCUCAACGUGGAGGCGCCACGUGAGACUGCCCUGACUCGAGUCCGGUAGGGGAGCGUGGAGUUCCUGGUGUAGCGGUGAAAUGCGCAGAUAUCAGGAAGAACACCUAUGGCGAAGGCAGCUCUCUGGGACGGUACUGACGCUGAGACGCGAAAGCGUGGGGAGCGAACAGG